UCCCUGAGACCCUUAACCUGUGAGGAAGCCCGAAGGUCACAGGUGAGGUUCUUGGGAACC
rnacentral:pre_miRNA from 1 species